CUCCACAGCAACCAUAACAUGUCACUCAUGAUAACUGCUAAUCCUAAAACGACGCUUAAUCCCAUUUUAGCCUCCACUGAAAGAUUUGGGAAAAUAUAAAUAUAUUUAUCAAUACAUAUUAAUAUAAAAUAUACCCUCUAAAAUAGCACAUCUUUCCUUCAGCAUACAUAAAUCUGUUUGAAGCAAAAUUGAAAAUUGAGCCUCAUCCCACAUUUUAGUAGAUGAUGCCUCAGCUCAUUUCAUCUGUCCUUUUACUUUCGUCGUGGGGGUGAUGUGACAGCAGCUGUUCUAAGCAGGACAUCAAGAGAGAAGCCGGUACAUUCAUUAAUGUUAUCCAGCUUUUUAUUCUUUGGACGACCCUUUCUUUAUGCUCCCUCCACUGUAAAUUGAACAAUGGCUUGAUAUUGAGUCAUGUCUUACAAUGUGACCAAACUAGUUCAGCUUUCGUCUCUUCACAGUAUUGAGGAGUUACUCCUUUUUGUCAGCCAGAGUGUUAACGUGUAACAGUACAAAUUCGUUUUUCUUGAUUUCCUGAUAACUGAUACAUAUUGGAUUCUUCUUUCAGCCUCAGCGUUCAGUGUCCAACUUCCACAACUAAAUUGGAGUACAUAGUCACUUCACUAGCGAUGGAGGCCAUGCUGACAUGUAUAGAGAAUUUAAUUCGUUCACAUAAGAAAAACACUGUAAGCAAGUCUAGUGAAGAAUGGACAGGAAGUCAAUCUUACGCUAGGUUAUGAUACAGCAAGAUAUACAUCUGUUUGAAUGUAAUGAAAUGGAUCACUGUAAGAAAAAACAAGGUUACAAAGACAGUUUGUGUAGAAACACUAAAAUCUGAACCGGCCCCGAAGUGGUCCACCCAGGCAGGUAAAAAGGACACACCCUGCGAAAUCCAGCUACCAAUGUAGCAAGGCAGGCACUUGAUUGGAAUUCGCAACGAAAGAGAAAAGUGGGCAGACCAAGUCAAACCUGGAAGAUAUCAGUCAUCAUUGAAGCCGAGGGUACUGGAAUGACAUGUCAGCAGAUGAAGAAAGCUGGUCAGAACCGAGUUUGGUGGAGAUGUGUGGUUGCAGCUCCCCUGGGAGUGCACAGGAUUAAGUCAAGCAAAACUGGACAAGGUAUACAAGGAAAACUUGGAGGUCAUAUCUUUCAUAUCUUCGUAUUCACUUUCGUCUUAAGCAAGACAUGGAUUGCAUGGAUUUUGAUACAGAAAUGUGAUGUACACAAUUCGUAAUAUGCAUAGGGUGGAUGUACCUGACGCAGAUAUUCCAAGCGAGGCCCAAUCUUCAAAUCCAGUAUUCGUGGUGCCAAUGGUUCUUCAAGUCAGAUACGGAGAAUGGUUAAAGUCCUUUAAUAAAGUUCAUAUUGAGUCUUUGUGAAUGGCGGAGUGAUGGCGUCUCAGACUCGGUCACAUAACAGCUAAGGGAUGACAUCAACGAAUAAGAACAAGGUGCAGGGGUUACUCUUAUCUCAACCUCAUUAAAACAUCCGCCGGAAAACAUUCAUUAUAGAAAAUGGAUAGGAAAACCAGCGCAGAGUCUAGUAGCUGGAGACCCUAUAACAGAAGAGUUCAGUAGUGGGGGACUAUAUAACAGAAGAGUUCAGUAGUGGGGGACUAUAUAACAGAAGAGUUCAGUAGUGGGAGACUAUAUAACAGAAGAGUUCAGU